rnacentral:rRNA from 1 species
UACGUAGGGUGCAAGCGUUGUCCGGAAUUAUUGGGCGUAAAGAGCUCGUAGGCGGUUUGUUGCGUCGGCUGUGAAAUCCCGAGGCUCAACCUCGGGUCUGCAGUCGAUACGAGCAAACUAGAGUGUUGCAGGGGAGACUGGAAUUCCUGGUGUAGCGGUGAAAUGCGCAGAUAUCAGGAGGAACACCGGUGGCGAAGGCGGGUCUCUGGGCAAACAACUGACGCUGGAGGAGCGAAAAGCGUGGGGAGCAAACAGG